rnacentral:rRNA from 1 species
UACGUAGGGUGCGAGCGUUGUCCGGAAUUAUUGGGCGUAAAGAGCUCGUAGGCGGUUUGUCACGUCUGCUGUGAAAUCCCGAGGCUCAACCUCGGGCCUGCAGUGGGUACGGGCAGACUGGAGUGCGGUAGGGGAGAAUGGAAUUCCUGGUGUAGCGGUGGAAUGCGCAGAUAUUAGGAGGAACACCGGUGGCGAAGGCGCCACUCUGGGCCGAAACUGACGCUGAGGAGCGAAAGCGUGGGUAGCAAACAGG